rnacentral:rRNA from 1 species
GGGAGCUUGCUCCCGGAUGUUAGCGGCGGACGGGUGAGUAACACGUGGGUAACCUGCCUGUAAGACUGGGAUAACUCCGGGAAACCGGAGCUAAUACCGGAUAGUUCCUUGAACCGCAUGGUUCAAGGAUGAAAGACGGUUUCGGCUGUCACUUACAGAUGGACCCGCGGCGCAUUAGCUAGUUGGUGAGGUAACGGCUCACCAAGGCGACGAUGCGUAGCCGACCUGAGAGGGUGAUCGGCCACACUGGGACUGAGACACGGCCCAGACUCCUACGGGAGGCAGCAGUAGGGAAUCUUCCGCAAUGGACGAAAGUCUGACGGAGCAACGCCGCGUGAGUGAUGAAGGUUUUCGGAUCGUAAAGCUCUGUUGUUAGGGAAGAACAAGUGCAAGAGUAACUGCUUGCACCUUGACGGUACCUAACCAGAAAGCCACGGCUAACUACGUGCCAGCAGCCGCGGUAAUACGUAGGUGGCAAGCGUUGUCCGGAAUUAUUGGGCGUAAAGGGCUCGCAGGCGGUUUCUUAAGUCUGAUGUGAAAGCCCCCGGCUCAACCGGGGAGGGUCAUUGGAAACUGGGAAACUUGAGUGCAGAAGAGGAGAGUGGAAUUCCACGUGUAGCGGUGAAAUGCGUAGAGAUGUGGAGGAACACCAGUGGCGA